rnacentral:misc_RNA from 1 species
AAGUCGUAACAAGGUUUCGUGGCAUGGCUUCCCCAAGCAGUUAGUGAAUGACUCACUGACUGUGUAAGGAUAACGCCUCACGGUUGCUAGAGGUCGAUCACCGACCGGCAGACAUGUCACAGGGUCACCACGCCCCUUAAUCACUCCACUUGAAAGCCCCGCCUAGUGGUAACGCGCUAGGUAAAAAAAACCGAACAACUGUUAACAAUGGAUAUCUUGGUUCUC